GCACCUGAAUCUUUCCUAUUCCUUGCUGCGCAGUGCAGGUCUGGGGACAGUUGGUGCUACAGCACAGCAGCAGAAAUCCAGAUGGGUUACUUUCCAUUUCCUUGGAACUCAUCUCUACAGCUCUGCAACAUUU
rnacentral:snoRNA from 1 species